UACAGAGGGUGCGAGCGUUAAUCGGAAUUACUGGGCGUAAAGCGCGCGUAGGCGGCUUUGCAAGUCGAGUGUGAAAUCCCCAGGCUCAACCUGGGAACUGCAUUCGAGACUGCGUAGCUAGGGUGCGGAAGAGGGAAGCGGAAUUUCCGGUGUAGCGGUGAAAUGCGUAGAUAUCGGAAGGAACAUCAGUGGCGAAAGCGGCUUCCUGGUCCAGCACCGACGUUCAGGCACGAAAGCGUGGGGAGCAAACAGG
rnacentral:rRNA from 1 species